AACAGGCAGCCCGACGAGAGAACAAACUACCAAUUAAAGAGCGACAAUUCAGGGCCAGAGAAUAGGAACAGAAUAGAAGCCGGUGCCGAAAGGUCAUGUUUAAGGGCUGAUUCCAAGCUGGUGAAUGGAGCUGCUGAAGGCAGCUUUGAGAAGAGAAACCACAAUUUGCUCUCAUGAGCCUGCAGGAACCAGCUCCAGAUCACCUCAGAGAUACUGAGAGAUAUAAAGAUGAAUAAGAUACUUCCCUCUCCUCAAGGAGUUUACAGUUGAUUGAAGAGUGGUGUGGAUGACUUAGAGCAAGACAUUUACCCUCAUUGUCUUCAUAAAUAAAAUGCAGUUUAGACCUCAAGAGAACGUCCAUGUUUUUGUUUGCUGUCUUGGAAACCUGUCUUGUUACCUUGAGUACAAGGUCAAGUUAACAUACUGGAUGAUGAGAGACAGUCCAGGAGUCCUCAUGAUCCCAGAUGACAACCAUUCCCACUCAAUCAGUCCUCAGUCACCUUAAGGAUGACCACAGACAUGAGUGAGGCCAAAUGACCCAGGCUCUUCCUGGCCCAGAUCUGCAGAACCACCCAUCACACUGGCACAGCUACAAGCAUCACUCUUUUAAAGGCAACAAGCUGGCCUGGAGACAAGUGGCACCCAGGAAAAGUGUGACGCGCCCUGCACAUUUAUAUAUAGACACUCUAUGGAACUGACAAUUAUCUGCAGUAAUAGAGGAGAGUUGGCAGCAUGCAAGAUCCAAAA